rnacentral:misc_RNA from 1 species
GAUGAAGAACGCAGCGAAAUGCGAUAAGUAAUGUGAAUUGCAGAAUCCAGUGAAUCAUCGAAUCUUUGAACGCACAUUGCGCCCGCCAGCAUUCUGGCGGGCAUGCCUGUUCGAGCGUCAUUUCAACCCUCGACCUCCAUUUGGGGAAGUCGGCGUUGGGGACCGGCAGCACACCGCCGGCCCUGAAAUGGAGUGGCGGCCCGUCCGCGGCGACCUCUGCGUAGUAAACCAACUCGCACCGGAACCCCGACGUGGCCACGCCGUAAAACACCCAACUUCUGAACGUUGACCUCGAAUCAGGUAGGACUACCCGCUGAACUUAAGCAUAUCAAUAAGCGGAGGA